CCACGGAACGAGUUUUAACUCGGAGCAUGACGUGGUUCACAUCGAUGUCAAUCAGGGCACAUUGAAUGACAAGCGACUAAAAACCUGACAUGUUUAACCAGUGCCUACCGAACGUUGGAUAGAAUAUUUAAUACAGAUUUCUAAAUUUUAAUGCAAAAAACAUCGUUUUGCAGACACUGGUAUAGUGGAAGCGUAGCGAACCAAUUCAACCAAGAAGAUCUUCAAGAUACCACUGUGGAAUUGAGCAAGAGAGCAACAUAACAAACGAUAUGUUCACCAUCCUCAAGAGUCGUAGGUGUUAAUUAACCGUGAAGAAACCAACCGGUUCUAGAUGCGUAAGCAAAAAAAAAGCUGGGGACUAAAAAAAGAAGAAGCAAUCGACCAUAUCGAAUGGUAAUUUCAUUGUGCAUCCUAUUGAUGAUAAUUUAUUCUUCUAUCCGGGAUGUAAUACUAACAAUAAAUUCAUGUAAUCGCG